UACGUAGGGGGCAAGCGUUGUCCGGAAUCAUUGGGCGUAAAGCGCGUGUAGGCGGCUUGGUAAGUCUGCUCUGAAAGCCCGGGGCUCAACCCCGGGAGGCGGGUGGAUACUGUCAAGCUCGAGUCCGGAAGAGGCGUGUGGAAUUCCGGGUGUAGUGGUGAAAUGCGUAGAGAUCCGGAGGAACACCAGUGGCGAAGGCGACACGCUGGGCCGUACCUGACACUAAAACGCGACAGCAUGGGGAGCGAAUGGG
rnacentral:rRNA from 1 species